GGACACCGGGACAGCGCCCUCGGGCCGUGCUCGCUCCCUGCCCGAUUGCUGCGCUCUCCCUCCGCAGGGCUCUGGGCACAGCCGAGGCUGCAGGAGGCCGGCGGAGGGCUGCGAGCGCCCGGGGACUCCGUCACCCUCUCCUGCCGAGGAUCCGGCUUCACCUUCGAGAAUCAUUAUGUUCGGUGGUACCGGCAGGCACCCAGAGGCAGAUUCGAAUGGGUGUCCUGGAUAAGCCAUUACUCAUCCCAGAUUCAGUUUGGGUCCGCAGUGGAAGGUCGAGCCACAGCCUCCAGGGACAAUUCCCGAUCUGUGGCAUCUCUCAGCCUGCACCUCCUCCAUGCUGGGGACCGUGCCCUUUACUUCUGUGCUGUUCGCACUUACACAUUUUAACUGUGUGUUACCGCUGCUCUUGUCUUUGGGAAAGGAACUCAACUGACUGUGGAGCCAAACAUUCCAAAAACUUCUCUCCCUCAAAUCAUUGUGAUGAAAUCAAGGAAACUGAAAGAAGGUGGCAGCACUGGGAAAGCAGCUUGUUUGGCAAGGAACUUCCUUACAAAGAACAUCAGCUUGGAGAUGCCUGCUACGGAGGUCGUGUAUGAACAGAGCACAUCCAUUUUGACA